rnacentral:tRNA from 1 species
GGUGUGGCUCAGAUGGUAGAGCGCUUGGUUUGGGACCAAGAUGCCGCAGGUUCGAAUCCUGUCACU